AAUAAGUACAGUUACACUAUUCACGUCCAACGUUUGACCGCUCGUCUUAUUUGAAAUUUUUCUAUGAUUAGCAUUUUUGUUGUUAGUAGAUGAUAAAACAUAAAUAGUACUUUAUGUGUGACUAACUUUUUUUAAUAUUUUUAUAAAUUUUUCAAAUAAGAUGGACAGUCAAAUAUUUAACACGGAUUUCUAUGACUGCACUUAUU
rfam:Oryza rufipogon genomic scaffold, chr11